GUGACCGCUGCGCCCCCCUGCGGCGGGGAGGGCUGCUGCAGCUCCGCGCCUGAGGGAGGCGCCGGGCCGCCAUAUUGCCCGCGUCGGGAUAGGGGUACCCCGACGUCACCGGGCACCCCUGCGGCGCGAAGAGUUGCGGGUGAGGGACUCUAGUGCCGCCCUCACGCCUUGCCCGACCUUCCCUGUAGUGUUCUGAACCUCCAGAGCCGACGGCGUGGUGGUGAACUGUUGGGAGGAAGGUGGUGGGCAGAGCCACGGCCUGGUGUGAAGUGCGCCCUUCUGAGAGUCGCUCACAGUGCGGUAUCCGUUGGGCCUAAGGACGCUCUUUGCUGCGUGCACGUGAGAUAUAAGGCGUACAGUCACCACGAGGGGGGGAAGGAAGAGAUGGAUGAGGUGUGAUACUCCAGGCUCACACCUAAGGGAAAGGUCAAAAUUCUACAGGAAUUUACAAAGGCUGACAUGUGGAAGUUUAUUUCCGGUUGCACGUGUUGUGUUCCAGUAUAUGAAAUUGUUGCAGAGAAUGAGCCCAGAUAACAGCCACUGAUUUCUCCCCGAAGAUCCCUGAUUUCCUAGAGACAGCUUAUCCAGUAAAAGGUCUGAGUACAGCACAGGGAUGCAUGUGGUACAAGAAGGACAAUAAAUUCCAGAAACCUGAAGGUCCCUAGGUCAAAUAUCUGCUCCUGUUACAGCAGCAGUGUUGUGGAUUGCUGAUCUGUGUGGUCUUAGGCUCAGCUUUCAGGUUGACUGUACAGAGCACACUGAUGGUGGUAGCUGCCAGAGGCACACUUCAUUGGACUAUCUAGCAUCACCUAUCUGUGCCAUUGACGCAGACUGAUCUCCACCAACUGGUGGUGUGAAUUCUUAGUAGACCAGUAAAAUAGAGGUCCUGAUGUGCUAGCUGAGAAAUCCCCAGGAAAUGAUCAGUUGCCAGAUGUUGCAGAAACACAGCUUCAAAGUUGAAACCUCUGCUACUGUCAUCAGGAUAAUCCACAAUGAAUGUCAAACUUCGACUGUAUGAAGCUGGCACUGCAGGACUUGUGGAUAGCUUUGUUAACCUGUGUGCUGUUCCCAGGGCAUCCAAAGCCACUACAGCUGCAUUGGAAGUGCUCUUGUUGUAGCUGUUUGGGGACCAGGACCAGCAAAAUACCACUGAAUUCCAGGAAUCAGCUAUUGAUAGAGUUGUGAACCUUGUCUCGCACUCCGUGUUAUGUCAGAUCUACUACAGUGCAGGCAUUCACUUUGAUGACAGCUGCUGCACUUCAAUAAAUUCUACGUAUGCUGAACUAAGACACUGCCCCACAGUAUUUCCUAAAUUGAGACUCUUAAUGAAGAAGAGAGUGGGGGAAAGGAUCCAGAAGUGAAAUCUCUCCCUGAAGUUUUACUACAGAGGCAUUGGACAGUUCACUUUACUUCUAUGUUACAUGGAUAGAAUUCCUUGUAAGGACUGACACACUUCUAGGUGACCUUCAGCAGUUAUUACUGCCAGUGAUUCAUCUCAUGAGGGCUGCUUCUUGGAAGGAAGCUCCAAUGCAGACAAGCUGCCACGCAGAACAAUUUCUCUUUUUUUCCUGCAUACAAAGGACUUGCUAACAAAUUUCUCCAGAUGAGGUAUCCCCCCAUGCACAGCAAGCCAAUAACCACUGAUGAAAGGAGACAGUGUUAGCCAGUUUUGUGGAGAAAGGAACAUCUCAACAAAUUCCUCCUAUAAACCAUCAGGAAGCAGUUCAUUUAGUAGUUCAAAUAAAUCUGAUUUAAGGACACGAGAGACAUGUCAUACCUUUGGGCUGCUUUAAUU